UUACGGCCAUACCAGCCUAUACGCCCGAUCUCGUCCGAUCUCAGAAGCCAAGCAAGGUCGGGCCUGGUCAGUACCUGGAUGGGAGACUGCCUGGGAAUCCCAGGUGCUGUAAGCCUUUU
rnacentral:rRNA from 1 species